UUACUUGCCAAGCAUCUAAUUAUGAAAUAUAAUCAUAGAUGAUUUAUUCUUAUAAUAAAUCUAUGGUAAUAAACCUUAUUUGAAAUAGGAAAUGCGGACCUGGGGGCAGUACCCAGCGUCUCCACCAUAAAUUCAAAAUAAUAUGGGGACGAAACAGCUUCGACGUGUUUUAGUAAAGAAAUACUUUUACCACAGUGAUGAUAUUUACUGGAGCUACUUUUAUUUUUCGUAAUAAAAUAGCUAGGACGAAGUCAAUAAACUAAAUGCAAAUGUUUUCGGUCGUAAAAACGAUCACACUUUUGCUCUAGCUGCUUAGUUUUAUAACUAAGUUAAUAAAAUUUAGCUAGGCGGGGCUUUGAGAGUUUGCCUUGCAACAGAAAAACUCUCACU
rnacentral:tmRNA from 1 species